AUGGCUGUACAGAAGUCUUCAACAAAAAGAUUCAUCAAGAACAUAUAUAUGUUGUAAAAUUCACGGUGGAGAAAAAAAAAAGAAGAGGUCUAGUUCGCAAAAUGCGUAGUUACAGCCAAAAAUAAUUUGCCUUCAUGUUCACCACUGACACAAAGGUCGUCGGGAUGGGCACAGGUGAACUGGCAACUUUUUGUUCAACAUUAAUCUUUUAUUUAAAGAGGAAAACGAUGGGUUGGUAUCGACUUGACAGUCCACCUGCCUUUCAGCUCUGCCACAGCGUGAGAAACCUGAGUCGCCGGUGUCUCCAGGGCCGUGCAGUGGUUAACGAUGACAGGUUAAUUGUCUCUGUGCCAAGCAGCUUCCUCGCGUUGCGAUAGUCUGCGUGACAGAAAGCUCCCACCUGCGUGAUUAGAGUGCAGUCGCAGCCGUGUUUACAGGACGUGACGUUAGCAGACAGCAACUUCCGGCACAGCCGCCAUCUUGUCACCUCGUCUCCUGUCAAAGUCCAGCGCUGCUGUAGACCGGCUAACUUCAAUCAAGCAAUGCCGAUAGCGACAAGAAAAUGCGCUUGACCCGGCCACGAGGUGAAGACCACUCGAAAGCUCCCCCAUUCAUAACUUAUCUGAUGGGAAUCACCAGGAACACCGAAAAAAGCAUGCUGAAAGUUUUACGGUCCACUCCAAAGCAGAAACAAUGUGAAAGUUCUUUGACUGUGAUCAGAUAAAAUUAGCGAAGAUCAAUAAAAUUUGGUUUAAGCAAA